GGAACGAGCAAGAAGAGCAUAAGUAACUCCAAGGCUGCUGGCAAUGCAGGUCGGCAGAACAGAGCAACAGGGGAAGGGAGUUGGGGGCCCGCCUCUAGAGAUGGGCAGUAGGUACCUAGGACUUAUCCCACAGAGCUGCCCACUCACACUCCUGGAGAAACACCCAGGCCACACCAUCACCUCUCCAUUGAGGAGAAAAAAUUGAACAGAUUGUUUGGUCACAGUGACAUUUUGGCUCUACAUCCCCGAGAAGAGGAGAACUGGUACAAGCUAAUGGGGAACAGUGUGACAAAACAGAAUGGUACUAAUCAGGCUACUGUGUUCUGACCCCUCAACUUUCCUUUUUUACCCAAAUAAAAGAGCAGAACAAUGUCAAUCAUUAUCAUCUUAUCUUUAUCUGAAAGCCUUGGCAUUUCUCUUAGAACAAACACACCACAAAAAUCUUUCUUGUAAUACCACUCGGAAAAGACAGCAGUGGUAUGUAUGACAGAUUCAGACAAGUUCUUAUGCCCCAAGACGUUUUACUGACAAUACUCAGGAUAGUCCAUGAAAGGACUCCGUGUAAACCCAAAUCAAGAGAUCUGGCUCAGAAAAACAGCCACAAUUUCCCCUAGGAAUGCUAAAUGCCUUUGGACCUUUGGCCUACUAUGCUAGGUAGACAAGCAGGCACACAGGAAGCAAAUAAUAAGCUAG
rnacentral:lncRNA from 1 species